GUUCAUCAUCAAUUAGAAGUGAAUUGGUGUAGAAAUGAAGAAGUUAUAGUAAAAGGCAAUUUUGGGUGGGUGUGACAUAUGUGGGCAGGGCGCCCCAGGGUUGGUAAUUGUGCCAUGCAUAGUUGAGAUUGACCGUAUUGUCAUAAGAGAAGUUCAGUAUCAAUUUGAAGUGAAUCGGUGUAGAAAUGAAAAAAUUAUAGUAAAUGGAAUUUUUUGGUGGGUGUGGCCUAUGUGGGCGGGCGCCCCAGGGUUGGGAUUGGGGCCAUGCAUAGUUGAGAUUGACCCUAAUGUCAUAACAAAAGUUCAGUAUCAAUUUGAAGUGAAUCCGUGUAGAAAUGAAAAAAUUAUAGUAAAUGGAAAUUUUUGGUGGGUGUGGCCUAUGUGGGCGGGGCGCCCCAGGGUUGGGAAUGGGGCCAUGCAUGGUUGAGAUUGACCGUAUUGUCAUAAGAGAGGUCCAGUAUCAAUUUGAAGUGAAUCAGUGUAGAAAUAAAGAAGUAAAUGUAAAAUAACCUAAAAAAAUGAGUGAUAAUUUCUGACGCGGCCCCACCCCAACUGCUAUAACUUUUGACCCAGGGGUCAGAUCAAAAUUCCAAAUAGUGCAGGGUCGCACAUAUGCUCAUAGCUACCAUGUGUGUAAGUUUCAAGGUCCUAGUGCUUUUAGUGUAGGAGGAGAUAGUGGCCAGGACGGACGGACGGACAGACGGACGGACGGCGGAGAUAACCACAAUAUCCC